rnacentral:rRNA from 1 species
CCUACGGGUGGCAGCAGUGGGGGAUAUUGCACAAUGUGGGAAACCCUGAUGCAGCGACGCCGCGUGGGUGAAGAAGUAUUUCGGUGUGUAAAGCCCUAUCAGCAGGGAAGAAAGAAGACGGUACCUGACUAAGAAGCCCCGGCUAACUACGUGCCAGCAGCCGCGGUCAUACGUAGGGGGCGAGCGUUAUCCGGAUUCACUGGGUGUAAAGGGAGCGUAGACGGCCGUGCAAGCCAGGAGUGAAAGCCCGGGGCCCAACCCCGGGACUGCUGUUGGAACUGUCCGGCUGGAGUGCGGGAGGGGUAGGCGGAAUUCGUGGUGUAGCGGUGAAAUGCGUAGAUAUCAGGAGGAACACCGGCGGCGAAGGCAGCCUGCUGGACCGCGACUGACGUUGAGGCUCGAAAGCGUGGGGAGCGAACAGGAUUAGAUACCCCUGUAGUC